UAUAAAACAUUUAUUGGGAANCUUCAAGC
rnacentral:piRNA from 1 species